rnacentral:lncRNA from 1 species
CAGCUAGGCAAAAUGUUGAGUUAGUGCAGAAUAUGACCAGGCAGAAUGCAUCAGCCAGGCAGAAUGCAUCAGCCAGGCAGAAUGCUAAGUUAGUGCAGUUUCCGACCGGGCAGAAUGGACCAGCUAGGCAGAACACUGAGUCAGGGCAGAAUCCGACCAAGCAGAUUUGUGGCACAGGCCAGAAUGGCUCGGCCAGGCAAGGCAGGGCCGAGCUAGGGCAUAAUUUGACUGGACAGAAUGGACCAAGCAGAUUGCUAAGUUCGUGUAGAAUCCGAUCGGGAAGAUUGGACCAGCUAUGAGAAAUGGUGAGUCAGUGCAGAAUAUGACUGGGCAUAAUGCAUCAGCCAGGCAGAAUGCUAAGUUAGUGCAGAAUCCGACCGGGCAGAAUGGACCAACCACGCAGAAUGCUGAGUCAGUGUAGAAUCCGACCAAGCAGAUUGGACCGGCCAGGCAGAAUGCGAGUCAGUGCAGAAUAUAACUGGGCAGAAUGCAUCAGUACGGCAGAAUGUUGAGUUAGUGUAGAAUCCAACUGGGCAUAAUGGACCAGCCUCUGAGUCAAUGCAGAAUUCGACCGGGCAGACUUUUGGCACAUGUCAGAAUGGCUCGGCCAGGUGGGUUAAGGCUGAGCCACGGUAGGGUCUGGUCGAGUAGAAUGGAUCAGAAGGGAGAAUGUUGAGCUAGUGCAUAAUCCGACUGGACAGAUUGAUCGGCCAGGCAGGUCAGGGCAGAGCCACUACAUGGUUUGACCGAUCAGUUUGUUGGCACAGGCAAGACUGUCUCGGCUAGGCAGAGCAGAACAGAGUCGGGCCAUGGUUUGACCAGACUGAGGAGAAUGUUGGCACAAGUUAGAAUGGAUCGGUCAGGCAGAACAGGGAUGAGUCAGAGCUGAGUAUGAUCGAGCAUAAUGAUGGCAUAGGUCAUAAUGGCUUGGCCAGGAUGAUUUGGGCUGAGCUAGAUCAAGAGGUUACCGAGCGUAAUAGGACAGCGCUUGGGCAGGCUUCCAAAAGUAUCCACAUGUCGGUCAAGGUACUGAUAGAGGAUGACAGGUUUGUUAGUUGCUCCAUGACUCCGAUUACAAGCAUUGCUAUAGAUUUACCCUUGAUGGAAACAGUUUCUCAAUCUCGGGCAGUUCCAUUGCCGGUUAUCCAUGACUCGGAUCAGAUUAUUCUACAACAAUCGAAUAGUAUGGUCAAUAGAAGUGCAUCUCGUGAUUCAAUGAUGUUGGAAAGAUUUUGGAGCAAGGGGUUAACUUCCGACAAUGAAGAAGACACUUUCACUCCAAUCCUAUCUAAAAACAAAAAGAAAAAAAUUAGAAUGACGAAAAACAAACAGGCUCCAGGGAGAGUUUACAACACUCGGCAGAGCUGUCAUCCAUCCAAUGCUCACUAAUAUGAGCACUAUAUGGUGCAGACUUUUUUUGUUUUUAUUUUUUCAUUUUAUUGUAUUGAUAUUUCUAGCUUUCCAAUCUUCCGGUUCAUCCGAG